GAAAUACUCUCUCCGUUUGGAAUUACUUGUCUCGGAAAUAGAUGUAUCUAGAAUUAAAAUACGUCUAGAUACAUCCAUUUCUGCGACAAGUAAUUCCGAACGGAGGGAGUAUGUC
rnacentral:pre_miRNA from 1 species